GCAAAGCUUUCGAUCCGUAAGCCCGGAUCUUCAUCAGUGCUAAUAAUAUGAUUACAUAUUAUUAGCACUGAUGAAGAUCCGGGCUUACGGAUCGAAAGCUUU